rnacentral:misc_RNA from 1 species
AAGUCGUAACAAGGUCUCCGUUGGUGAACCAGCGGAGGGAUCAUUACAGAGUUGAAAAACUCCCUAAACCCUUUGUUUAUAUACCUGUUCAGUUGCUUCGGCAGGCGGCCCCAGGGCGGGGCCUCUAGCCUGCUCACGCAGGUGCCUGCCGCUGGCGCAAAACUCUUUGUUAUAUUUUACCACUCUGAGUCUCAAAAAAAUGAAUCAAAACUUUCAACAACGGAUCUCUUGGUUCUG